rnacentral:rRNA from 1 species
CAGUCGCCGCGGUAAUACGUAGGGAGCAAGCGUUGUUCGGAUUUACUGGGCGUAAAGGGCGCGUAGGCGGCGCGGUAAGUCACUUGUGAAAUCUCUGAGCUUAACUCAGAACGGCCAAGUGAUACUGCUGUGCUAGAGUGCGGAAGAGGCAACCGGAAUUCUUGGUGUAGCGGUGAAAUGCGUAGAUAUCAAGAGGAACACCUGAGGCGAAGGCGGGUUGCUGGGCCGACACUGACGCUGAUGCGCGAAAGCCAGGGGAGCAAACGGGAUUAGAUACCCGCGUAGUCCCUGUCUCUUAUAC